AACGAACGCUGGCGGCAGGCUUAACACAUGCAAGUCGAACGCCCCGCAAGGGGAGUGGCAGACGGGUGAGUAACACGUGGGAACGUCCCCCUCGGUCUGGAAUAACUCAGGGAAACUUGAGCUAAUACCGGAUACGUCCGAGAGGAGAAAGAUUUAUUGCCGAGGGAUCGGCCCGCGUCUGAUUAGCUAGUUGGUGAGGUAAUGGCUCACCAAGGCGACGAUCAGUAGCUGGUCUGAGAGGAUGAUCAGCCACACUGGGACUGAGACACGGCCCAGACUCCUACGGGAGGCGGCAGUGGGGAAUAUUGGACAAUGGGCGAAAGCCUGAUCCAGCCAUGCCGCGUGAGUGAUGAAGGCCUUAGGGUUGUAAAGCUCUUUUACCAGGGAAGAUAAUGACUGUACCUGGAGAAUAAGCCCCGGCUAACUUCGUGCCAGCCGCCGCAGUAA
rnacentral:rRNA from 1 species